rnacentral:rRNA from 1 species
GGUGGCAUGGUUGUCGUCAGCUCGUGUCGUGAGAUGUUGGGUUAAGUCCCGCAACGAGCGCAACCCUCGACCUUAGUUGCCAGCAUUCAGUUGGGCACUCUAAGGUGACUGCCGGCUAAAAGUCGGAGGAAGGUGGGGAUGACGUCAAAUCAUCAUGCCCCUUAUGACCUGGGCUACACACGUGCUACAAUGGGCGGUACAAAGGGUCGCGAACCCGCGAGGGGGAGCCAAUCCCAAAAAGCCGCUCUCAGUUCGGAUUGCAGGCUGCAACUCGCCUGCAUGAAGCCGGAAUCGCUAGUAAUCGCGGAUCAGCAUGCCGCGGUGAAUACGUUCCCGGGCCUU